rnacentral:rRNA from 1 species
GACGAACGCUGGCGGCGUGCUUAACACAUGCAAGUCGAACGGAAAGGCCCUGCUUUUGUGGGGUGCUCGAGUGGCGAACGGGUGAGUAACACGUGAGUAACCUGCCCUUGACUUUGGGAUAACUUCAGGAAACUGGGGCUAAUACCGGAUAGGAGCUCCUGCUGCAUGGUGGGGGUUGGAAAGUUUCGGCGGUUGGGGAUGGACUCGCGGCUUAUCAGCUUGUUGGUGGGGUAGUGGCUUACCAAGGCUUUGACGGGUAGCCGGCCUGAGAGGGUGACCGGCCACAUUGGGACUGAGAUACGGCCCAGACUCCUACUGGAGGCAGCAGUGGGGAAUAUUGCACAAUGGGCGGAAGCCUGAUGCAGCAACGCCGCGUGCGGGAUGACGGCCUUCGGGUUGUAAACCGCCUUCGCCUGUGACGAAGCGUGAGUGACGGUAAUGGGUAAAGAAGCACCGGCUAACUACGUG